rnacentral:lncRNA from 1 species
UCAUGACCACCAGCUCCUCCGCUUCUCUCCUCAGCCUCCGCCACCACAUGCAACCAAACGCCGCCGCCAACACAACAUUCUCCACCCAGUUAAACUCCUCUCCUCGGAGCCCCAAAACCGCCUCCUCCACCGCCGGCUUCACCACAUCCCGCCGCCAGAAAACCACCGUUUCACACAAUCCCAACCCCAAAACCAGACUCCUCACGGAAACCAAACUCCCAACUCCGCCGCCGCCCAUUCGAUCAUCAACUUCCACAAACCCAUAAAUCCACAAAUUCAGACAAACUUGCAUCGAGAAAAUCCAAA